AAACGAGGGGUGCUAGCGUUGCUCGGAAUCACUGGGCGUAAAGCGAGUGUAGGUGGUCUUACAAGUCGAAUGUGAAAUCCUGCGCCUUAACCGCAGAAGUGCAUCCGAAACUGUAAGACUAGAGCACGGUAGAGGGCGGGGGAAUUCCCGGUGGAGCGGUGAAAUGCGUUGAUAUCGGGAGGAAUACCAGUGGCGAAGGCGCCCGCCUGGGCCGUUGCUGACACUCAGACUCGAAAGCGUGGGGAGCAAACAGGAUUAGAUACCCUGGUAGUCCACGCCGUAAACGAUGCCUACUGGCUGUCGCGGGUAUAUACCCCUGCGGUAGCGAAGCUAACGCGUUAAGUAGGCCGCCUGGGGAGUACGGCCGCAAGGUUAAA
rnacentral:rRNA from 1 species